UUAUUAUUAUUAUUAUUAUUAUUAUUAUUAUUUUAAUAUAUAUAUUUAUUGAAGUUUUACCUUAUAAGAUAGAGUAAAUUAACAUUGAAAGAGUGAGAACAUUUGAUUGUAUAGAAAGUGGGAAAACUGAGAUUUAAAAAGGAUCCUUUUUUGAUCCUUUUUUAAAUUAUUAUUAUUAUUAUUAUUAUUAUUAUUAUUAUUAUUAUUAUUAUUAUUUAUACCCCGCUAUAUCUCCCCUAAGGGGACUCAAAGCGGCUAUUUUAAAAAAAUGCUAGUAUAUAAAACCACAUAUUUCAGUUCCAUUGCAUAUUGUUUGAAAGGUAAACACCUAUCAAUUAUUUGGUGCAGUUUGUUGUCAUGUUUAGACUUGCAGUAAUUAACAUACCAAAUAUGCUUAGGGUCUGGAUUCCAAAGUGCUAUCAUUACUAGUGACUGAAUGCAAUGGCAAAUUUAGCAGGGACCCAUACCAGGGGGGAAGAUAAGUGUCCAAGCGCUGUGACUCAUAGAGCCCUCUAGAUAUUGUUGGAUUAGAAUUAGCAUUGAAAGCAUUAACAUAGUGAAAAAUGUUGGUGAUUGAAGAGCAAUACGAACCAAAAGGCCAGAGAUUGUUUAUUCCUGCAUUAGACAUUUUACCAUUUAUACGGAGUGCCUUCCAUUACUGCUAUUCAUAAGAGAGAUUUUGAGAUGUCCUUCUUUUAUUCCCAGACAUCCUCAAAGCCUGUUCUGAAGUUGUAUUCUUUUUUAUUCCCAUCAAGGAUAAGAUCAAGGAUAAUGUCCUAAUGUGCAAGCACAGAUAAUUGUGCUAAAAUUAGUAUUGUUUUUCUGUGCUGAGGGUGAACAUUAUAUAGUAUUAAAUACCUUUCAGAGUUAAUAUAUCUGUGCAACUGGAAUGUUCUUUACUUGCUGCUUUGAAUUCUGUGAUAAUUUUUGAUCUCUAAAGACUUCAUCACACUGAGGUUCCUAACAAGGGCGACACCAGGGGAGAUUGCUGGAAUUCCCGCCACCCGCAAUGUGUGGGGGAAAGCACUGCGGCUUGGCUUUCCCCCAUAGUAGGCUAUGAGAACAUGGGUAGCACCCAUGUUCUCAAGGCUCCAUCCUAGGAUACUUCUAGGAUGGAACAACAUCAGAAGUAGCCAUGCGCUGUGUGAAGGACUCCCGCAGGUAUCCUAGACAGAGCUAGAAGCCAAUGUGAUGCUGUUCUGUUGUAUGUUUACAGUAUUUGGUUUUCCUCUGUUACGGCUCGUUAUUUUGCUUCUGAAGAGGCAAUCAACUAGAUGUUGGGAAAAUGAAAACUUUAGUUUGAAAGGUCACUUAAAUAUUUCAUUGUGAGAAUGUGUGGAAGUAAUGCACUGUUGUAUAUUGUAAAGCUGGAGUUUUGCUUUUUUGCAAAUAAUGUGAUAGGAGACUUUCAGUCAUUCGGUGUUCACAUUUUUGGGACAAAAAUAGGAUAUUGAAGGACAUUGAAUAAAAAGUCUCAUUCGUCUUGAUGAGUCUACUGUAGCUGAAAUUAAAGUUGAGUUUAGUUCUAUUGCAGGUAUUGGUUGAAGUGAACUAUGUUUCCUCAUUAAGUAUUAAAACUUGUGCUACCUCAUCAGGUAUUAAAACCUUUGUGGAAGCAUUAAUAUAACACUUCAAAUUAUUUGUUCUGCUAAAGUGGUGAUAAGACAGUGUUCCUAAAUUUCUGCAGAUGAAAAUAUGCUAGACAACCAGAAUUACAAUAAUAGGAAACAGUGUCAUGAUUUCGUUAUAUUGUCUUUUAUUAUUAGAACACUGGUUAUUAUGUGCUCCCAAAUCAUUUUUUACUAAUGGAAACCCUAAGGUAAAUCUAACAACAUAGCAAGAUUUGUUCCAAGAAGGUUUGCCUUUGCCUUACAGUAUAUAAAUUUAGAAUAUUUUCUUUAUCUAUUGCGACAAGUUGCUUUGGUCAAAAAUUGUGAUAAGAUGGUAUCAAUCAACUUUAUUAUGAUCACAAAUCAGCCAUGAUAAAACUUGUUCCUAUUAAAUUACUGUGCCAUUCGGUAUUGAUUUUUCAAAAGGCCAUUGUUUCUUGCUAUAAAACCAGUACAGGCAGUCCCCAAGUUAUAAACAAGAUAGUGCAGUAGGUACCUCAUCAGACGAGCUGAUUUGCUCAUUGUACGAUGCUUCCCCGCCAUUUUUGGCACUGAGUCUUUCACAUAACAUACAGGAACUGCCGAUUGGGCUCCCAUCCGAAAAGGGAGAGGAGGCAGUGCCCUCCGCCUCCGCCGCAACACAGGACCCUUCCCGUGUUGCCUUCCCAGCAUUGGGGGGAAGCCGGGCAGCGACGUUUCCCCCAUUGAGAUGAGUUAAGUUAAGUCAGGUGAUGCAGGGCAUGGAGCAGUGGCUUCUCUAUGCUUCCCUCCGGGAGCCCAUGGAUUUGCCCCAAUGCAGGGAGAAUACAAGGGCCUUUUAGAUGAGGUCCUAUGUUUGUUCUUAAGUUUAAUUUGUUUGUAAGCCAGAACAGUUACAUUUAAAAGUUACAUUUUAAAGACAAAAAUAUAUUUAUUAGCUUUGGAUAGCAUAGGGAAGAAUUAACACGACCCUGUGAUGUUUGUUUUGCUGUCUGUGUCCCUGUUCAGAAAAUUUCAGUUCACUUCCUGUCCCUGUGAUAUAACUGGAUUUUGAAAAAUGUGGCUUGUUGUGGAAACAAGGUUUGGAGAUAAAGCUUCAGUAGAGACCUCUUUUCCCCCAAUAACUUUUUCAGGAGUGAAUUUAGCUUCCAUGGGGUAUAUUUCUCCCACUUUCUGUUGUCUCACCCCCUGAGUCAUUUGUAAGUCAGAUGUUUGUAACUUGGGGACUGCCUGUAAUUGCAAACGUUAAAUAAUACUUUGUAUAGUCUUUUCAUUUCAAAGGUUAAUAGUAAAGAAAAAGAAAAAAGAAGAGCAGCCACUAUUGGCUAGUUGCUAUUGUUAGAAAUGAUCACAUAGAUAGAAUAAAUGUCAUUUUUCUUGUUUUAUGUGAUCUUUUGUCUUCUGUGUUUGCAUAUUUGCAAGUCUAUGUCCCUUCUUUCCCUUUUUAAGUUGCUUUAUCCUGCAGUAAAGUCAUGCUGUCGCUAUGGCACCUCAAUUUCCAUGACAACAGACUUUGAUACUACACAGACUAUUUUUAUUUCAGUGAGACCAAGAGGCUAGGUUGUGAGUGCAAAAUCCUUUAUUAAAACAAAAAUGACUUAAAUGAAGAAUUGCGGAUAAAACUGUAUGCCACAGAAAAAUGGGUUUCAGCUGUAUUGUAAAUUGCCUUAGAUGUGUUUUAAUGAAAGUUGUUUUUGCUUUGAAUAAUACGAAAACUGACAUUUUGAAUACUGGCAUAGAAGCCAUAAAAUCAUAGCUGUAAUUUCUGGCAAUGAUAAGAAAUAUUUUGAAGCUCUGUCCCACUACUCUUCGAUGUCUGCCUUUGUACAACCCAAAGGAAAAUUUGAUUAUUUUAAUUGUUGUCCAUUUUAGAUUAACUGUUGCUUCUACUUGGUACUGAAUGCCUAAUAAUUGUUUAUUCAGCUCCGUUUGUUUUAGUUGUUUGAUAAGAUCAAGUAAUGUCAAAUCAGUUUAUUUUUAUUUAUAUCUUCCUUGGUUUCUUUUGAGAUAAGACAGUCCCUUUCUAACAAAGGAAGUGCAAUAAAUCAAAUUCUCUUUGAAUUUCAGCUUAGCAUCACAAAAUAAUAAUAAUCAUCAUCAUCAUCAUCAUCAUCUUUAUUUAUACCCUGCCACCAUCUCCCCAGCGGGGACUCGGGGCGGCUUACAUGGGGCCAUGCCCAGAACAAUACAAUUUGACAGAAUAUAAAAAGAGCAACACAUCAUAACACAUUUGAACAAUACAAUAAAUGAUAAUAUACAUUACAACGCAAAAUCAGAAGAACAAGGGCGGGCCACAAGAACACUAAGUUAAAACUCGGGGUGAGAAAAGGAAUAAGAAUAAAAACCACAAAGAACAGGGUCAUAAAAUAGUGGUGCAAUCUGGAGGAUAGACUUUUGAAGACAAAAGUCUUUUGAAGUAAACUUGGAAUAUUGACACCCAUCUUGUAUAAUGGGUUGCUUUUCAUAUUUAUGGAUGAAUGUUUUAUUUUUUCAAUUGUGAAUGAAAUAGAUUAAUGUAUAAGUAGGUAAAGGUUUCCCCUGAUGUUAAGUCCAGUCAUGUCUGACUCUGGGGGUUGGUGCUCAUCUCCAUUUCUAAGCCGAAGAGCCGGCAUUGUCCAUAGACACCUCCAAGGUCAUGUGGCCAGCAUGACUGCAUGGAGCGCCGUUACCUUCCUGCUGGAGAUCUACUCACAUAUUAAUAUACUAUAUUAAUAUAUAGUAUAACAAUAAUAAAACAAAUUGAUUGACAAAAUUAGCAGUAUAGAUUACUAACUGAAUCUCCCAUCAUUGUACCCUUUCAAUAUUUUGAACACCUGAAAAAGGACAGUUUCCUUAAAACAUAGAACAGGAGUAGUCACGGCUCAGCAAUCAAUUUCUUCCCAAAGCACUUCUGUUGCAUUGGUGGUAUCACAUUUUGCUUAUCUUUAUAUAUAUUCAUUAAAAACGAACAUUUUCAAUAUUACUACGGUCUUCCAGUCAAGUGGAAGCUCCAUAAAAGCUUGAUAAUUUUUCCAUGAGCACCAGUUUCCAAAAUCUGAGCAUUCCGUGAAAGACUAAGAUUAUAUAAUCUUAGUGUAGUGGUUUGGAUAUCGGACUAUGGCUCUUCAGACCAGGGUUCAAAUCCCUGUUUGACCAUGGAAACCUACUACUUGACAUUGGGCAAGUCAUACCCUUGGAAGAAAGCAAAGGCAAAUUCCCUCUGAACAAACCUUUCCGAGAAAACCCUGUUAUUGAUUCACCUUCAGGUCCACUUAGAUCAGAAAUGACUUGAAGGCACACAACAUUUAAUGAUACCCAGUUUAUUACCAUUUCUAUAUGUGUAUAGCAUAAAGCCUAUUAUUUCUCUGUGAUUCAGCUUUCCGUUUCCUUUCAUAAGCAAAUAGAUCAAUAAAAUACUUCUAUGAGAGCUAUUUUCUGGAAUAGGUUUGUGAUUCCUGCAAUUUUAUUUAACCAACAAGUAUUUCUUUUGAGGCAUUCAGGCCACAUGUGGGUUUGAUAGCCUAUCUGACAUUUCAGUGUGCAUUGAAGCAAGGCACACUGGCAUAAGGUAUCAUCUAUGUAUUAAUUUCCUUUUGUUUCUUUUGUUUGUGCUGAUCUUGAUUUGAAAGCUGGUGCUGAUCAAAUCUGUCCCCACUGCAUGUUCAUUCAUUUAUAAUUUAGAUCAGAUUGUCAUAGUGACUUCAAUUCCAAGCCUCUUUCAUAUUCUACCUCUUCUAGUGACUCAUAUUUGUAUGCUGCUUGCCUUAUUAAUAAUGGUUGACAGUGAAACCACUGUUAUUGUAAAGGCAUGUAAAUGCUCCCCGAUUCCCUUUAACAGUCAGCAUCUGGCAUAUUUAUACACUGUAGAAUCAAUGCAUUUUGAGACUACUUCAACGGCCAUAACUCAAUGCUAUGGAAUCAUGGGAGCUGUAGUUUUACAAUGUCUUUGGCAGAGAGUGCUGGUGCCUCAAUAAACUACAAAUCCCAGGAUUACAUUACAUGGAGCCAUGGCAGUUUAAGUGAUGUCAAGCUGCAUUAAUCUACAGUGUGGAUGCACCCUUGAUCAGGUUACAAUGGUUGUCCGACUGCUUACUGGGGUCUUUGCAACUCCCCUUCACCAGUGAGUGAGUCUGUGACACAGACCUGUGAUAAGGGUCCUACUUUUGAUUAUCACAUCUUCACUUGCUGACAGAAGAGGAUUGAAAACAUCCUACUGUACCCUGGUUGGAAGCUGAAGAGACCUCUUUCCCCUGUUCUAGCUGGUAAGUUGAAUGAGCGGCAGUCUGGCGAGGAGACAUUAUUUAUCUAUAUCUACAGAACUAAGCAAUCAAUGUGGAGUAUCAAUGGUUAUCUUUUGUAACACAAAUUUUUUGAAACCUAGUUAAUCAUCUAUCUAGGCAGCACAGCCUUUGAACUGUUGUUUGAGGAAGACAAAAGAUUUGCUUGACUCAGAGCCGUAUGUAAUUUAUAUAUCUUAAUGUUUUUUUUACAUUCUUUCUGGUAAUUGCUUUCUGGUAAUUUCUUUAUUUAUCCAUAUAUAUUAUGCUUAAGUAUACCCUUCUGUAUCUUGGUCUGGGUAUAUUGAAAAGAGGCAUGUUGGAGAAAGACUCAGCUAACAUUUUAGCCUAUUUCCUCUAUGUAGUAAGAGAGUCACUAUGUAGUAAGAGAUGUUGGAUGUGUUGCCAUGUUAAAUUAAUUGUAUAGCUUGGUCCAACUGAAAAACUGUUAAGUAUAAAUCUGGGCCUGAUACUACUAGACCUCCCUUCCUUGUCACGUUAUAGCUAGAAAAAUUAUGGGUUUUACUAUUUUUAAAAGUUUGUUGAUUACUAAACAAGAGGAAUCACUGCUCUACCUUGUCAAAAGCUUUAAGAGCAUGGACUGAUAAUUAUCAUAGCUAAUGUUGAUUCAAUAAUACUAUAAUACAGGCUAAUAUUUAAUGGUUUUUCUUUUGCAUCUGUCAGUUUACAGCCAUUUGGUCUAUAUACUGUUACAUCUCAUGGAUUCUCAUCUAGUUUAGGUAUAGGAAUAAUUCUGGAAGUAUUUCAAGUUUCUGGAAUGGAUAUGUCACUGAAGAUGUAAUUGGAUAUUCCUGUUAACAUGGGAGUAAAAAGUCUGAGCCAGAGGAUUUACUGGUUUUAAGGCUAUGAUUGUUUUGACAUCUUUCUCUUUUUAAUUUUUUAAUAGACAUUGGUACUCAUCUCUAUUAGGUUUUUUUUUUUUAAAUCCAUUCAUGUCUGCAUAGACUGCAGUUAGUAAAGGUAAAGGUUUCCCCUUGACAUUAAGUCUAGUCGAGUCCAACUUUGGGGGUUGGUGUUCAUCUUCAUUUCUAAACCGAAGAGCUGGCAUUCUGUGUAGAUGCCUCCUAGGUCAUCUGGCCGGCAUGACUGCAUGGAGCACCAUUACCUUCCCACCGGAGCGGUACCUAUUGAUUUACUCAUAUUUGUAUGUUUUUGAACUCCUACUUUGGUAGAAACUGGGGCUAGGAACAGGGGCUCACCCCAUCCUGUUAAUUCGAACUGCCAACCAUGGACAUGAGGUCAUGACACGGAUUUUUAUAUGGUUUUAAUAUGUUAAACGAUUUAUAUGUGUUUUAAUUGUUUAUAUAUUUAGAUUGUUUAUAUUUUGAUGACAUGUGUUUUAUUGUUUAUCUGUACGGCAUUGAAUUAUUGCAAGAUCUGUAAGCUACCUUGAGUCCUCUCCAGGGUUGAGAAAGGUGGGAUAAAAAUGAAGUAAAUAAUAAAUAAAUAAAUAAACCUAAUUGCAAAAUACAGAAGUAGUUUUAAAAUAGUUAACUUCUACAAGGUUCAGUUUUAUUACUUCAAUUUUUUCCUCAAUUGAUAACAGUUUGGAAUUUCUACUUACAAAUUUAUACCAUAGGUUUAUUGUAUUACAAAGAGGGGUACUUUUAAAAUAGUGUGCAUUCUAUUUGUGUGUGUGUGUGUGUGUGUGUGUGUGUGUGUGUUAGUGUUUUUUGCCCUGCUUGAAGUUGUUAUAUCUGGCAUCAAUUUUUAUUCUUGUACUCCUUUCUUUACUCUAUCACUGUUCCGUCCCCCAGGACGAUGGUUUGCCUUACCUAUUGGUCGUUUGUUUGUUUUCCCUCCUUUGCAUUUUGUUUGAGCCUCUGGCUGCAAAAGCCUAGGAAAAGUGGCUUGGAAUCUGCAAUAGCUGGCUGCAGUUUUCUUUGCAGUGAUUGGUCAAAGAGUGCAACAUCUUAGGACCGCCCUUUUUACCAGGGUCUAGUCUCCAUUUUGGAGCUUCAUUCUGGCUAUUGUCUUCCAACGUGCUGGAGCUGUGCAAGGCUAACUGGGACAAAUCAUCCUCAAAACCAGGCCAAUCUAAGCCUAUCCAAAUUAGAUAAGUAUUGAAUUAUAUUGAUCUGGAAUAGGAAAUCUAGUUAGAGGAGCAAAGUUAUUCCAUCGCUUCUAGAACUAAUCUUUGCUGUAAAGAUAGGGAAGGAAAGAGUUUCUCCUUCUAAUAUAGGCAGCGUGAUUAGGGUAUAGUGGUUUUAUAAUCACCUUUGCCUUCUGGAACCCGGGAUAAUUCUGUGACUAAAACCUAUAGAAAUUUGUUUCAUUUUCUGCAACUUUAAGAUCUGUGCCAGGUUUACAACCUUGUAUGAAUAAACAUUCUUUUUUGAAGUUAUCCAGACUCAGUCGUUCAAUAUCUAUAGGACAGCUUAUAGGGAUUUGCAGUUCGCCCGGAUAAAGGACAGCACGUUUCAGUUUUAUAGUUUUUUAUUGUCCGGCGGACGGCACAGUUUUGAGGUCGAUCAGCGGUUUUUCCGCUUCAGCUAGCUUGCACGGCUUUAUAGUUUUUUAUAGUUUAGGAAGUUUUAGUAUAGGCUGCGGCUUUUCCGCCUGAGCUCAGUCUGCAUACCUAAAGACUCUACCAGCGUCUGAGGCAGUGGAGCCCGCUCUCAGACCUGAAGGAGUCAAAUAGUGGGGCUCUAUUUCCUUGCUAUUUGGCUCGCGUGUGCGCGCGUGGCCCAGUGGCUUUCUGGGUUUGCACAGGCUGUGCAGUUCCCAGCAACGUCCAGGGCUCCCUCGGCGGUAGACCUCGAGCCGCGGAGCACCAGCGACAGUUCUUUGGCUGGCUCUGAGGCGUGAAGCCCACCAGAACCAGGCUAGAACCUGGACAGGCCUGGCAACGCUGCUGCGAGUUCGGCCGGAGUUCGGUGACCUGCCUCAUCGUCCUGCGGUGGUGACCUGCCUCAUCGCCUGGCGGUGGUGACCUGCCUCAUCGUCCUGCGGUGGUGACCUGCCUCAUCGUCCUGCGGUGGUGACCUGCUUCAUCGUCCUGCGGUGGUGACCUCCCUUCACAGCGGGGAGGAGGCGUCUUUUCUCUCCUCCUUUCCAAAGCCAGCCUCGGUGCUCCUUCGGCGGCAGGCCUCGAGCCGCAGAGCACGAGGUGCUUGAAAAUUUGGCGAAGUCGCCAUUUUGGCAGUUUACGUCACUCGGGCAAGGGAGGUAUCAAGUGGCAAGUUGCUGUCAGUUGGCAUUUUGCAGCUUGCCCACUAAAAUCUGGCGCCAAAGGUCACAAUCUUUGUAAAGUAUAGUUACUUAGUGAUAUAUAUUGCUAUGGUUAAGUGUUGUGCAUUGUAUUAUAUAUUGCAUUUGCUUUUAUUGUAAAUUUACUUGCUGGUAUGUUGCUGGUAUUUACUUGCUGGUAUGUUGUAUUUGCUUUUGUUGUAAAUUUACUUGCUAUUAAGAAUACAUAAUGUCUAUGCAAUUUCAAGAUGAUACAGAUGGUAUACCUCCUUCUGAGGCUGAAAGUAGGAAUGAAAGGCCCCAAAGGAUAAAGCACCCUUCAGCCAAGAUGCUAGCCCAUCUAAUAGGUGAAAAGGAGCUCCUCCAUGUGAGGUUAGGUUCGGCAUGGGAGCGAAUUGUAACAUUGAUGGACAGAAUUGAGAGCUUGGGUAUUACAAGGGUGCCAUCCAUAUUACAGACCGACCUUGAAGAGACCUUCGGUCUCUGGAGGGGUUUGGUGUCUAAGAUAGUCCAGGUCCUCGAGCGCAUUAACGCCAAGGAUUCAGAGUUAGAAAUAGUGAGUGUCUUAGCUGACACUAAUGAGAAAGAAAAUAAGGUGAGGGCAAUUCUAGAUGCCUUGGAAUUUAGUUCUCCACCUGUUAAUCUAAGGUCUGAGCCAAAAGGAAAUCAGUCUUCCUUAUGCAGCCAUGAGACCAAUCUUUUAAAAUCACCUGCUGUGGCACUUAGUCUUAAGUCCAACCGCUCUAGCCAGGUAUCUAAACUAAGGGAGUGUGCAUCAUCUAAACAUAGCCACUCUAGCAAGUCUUCUGCUGCUGGGAGUGCCAUCUCUUCCCUAGCUGCCUUGCACAUUAAGGAGGCUGCACGUCUGGAGCUAAAGAGCAAGGUAGCGGGGGCGGAGGCUGAUGCUAAGGCAGCUGAUCUCACCCUUCCCUUUAAAGAAGAAGAGCAACGACUGCAAAUAGAACAGGCCCGUAGACAAAGCGAAAUGCAAAUAGAACAGGCCCGUAGACAAAGCGAAAUGCAAAUAGAACAGGCUCGUAUAGAGAUGCUUAGAAUAAGGAUGGAUGCUACUGCCAAAAAGGUAAGGGCUGAGACUUUGGCCAAGGCCCUAAUUGAGCCACUCACAGAAGAAAAUGUAAGUCAGUUGCCGAAGCAGGACCCUUCUUCCAAGGUGCUUGUGCAUCUUAAUAGCUUAAACAGCCAGUUUUCGGAUGAGGAACAGGAAGACUUCUCUCCUUACCCAGAGCAGGGCCCCAAAGUCACUUUUGAGUUUCCUGCAGAGCAGAGCGUCAUAGCGGGGAGCUCACCCUUGCCCGAGCUACCUGUGCCUCCUGCUAAAUCCCUAGGUCAGUCAAUCAGGGCCUCAAGGCCAAGUGCUAGUUGGCCCUUACAGACAGCUGCACAGGGAGCCACCGAUUCGUCAGUGGUCGAUGUCAUCCCUCCAAGAGGCCAAAGGUUGACGCAAGGUGCACGGUGGGAGUCCACUCCACAACAGCAAACUCCUCAAUUGUUCCCUUCGACGCCAGAGUCCCAGCUUGUCUCCAUCAUCAGAAGCCCCAGAAGAGAUCUUAAGGACAAGGGUGUCGAAAAGUUUUCGGACAAGCCUGAGGAAUUUCUUCUCUGGAAGGCCACCUUCCAGAGAGCAAUCAGAGACUUAAAGUUAUUACCUGAGGAAGAACUGACUCUUCUGGCUGCAUGGUUGGGCCCAGCCUCAUCCUCACAAGUUAAGAAGAUCUACGCAGCCCACGUAGCCGAUCCCGACAAAGCCCUGGAAAAGGCCUGGGCCAGGUUGCAGCAGAGGUAUGGGGCCAGCACAGAGAUUGAAGCAUCUCUUAUGGACAAGCUCCAAAGGUUCCCAGCUUUGAAACUCAAAGACUUCAAACUCUUGUGGGACCUCAGCGAUCUCCUUACGGAAUUAGAGUCGGCCAAGGAGAAUCCAGAACUGCCCGGUUUGAAGUGCCUCGAUCAGCACCUGUCCCAGAGGCAGAUCUUGACCAAGCUGCCCUUCACUUUGCAAGAACGCUGGGGACAGGAGGUCUUCAACUACAAGGAGGCCCACUCCCAGGCAUACCCUCCAUUUUCUCAUUUGGUCCAGUUCAUCACCAGGGCGGCCAGAGAAAGGAAUGAUCCGCAGACGGGCCUCCCCACCUUAUACCAAGGGACCCAGCCAGAGAAGGCACCUAAAGUGGAGAAAAAACCAUCCAGAGAGGCCAAAAGACCGGUUAGUGUUAAGGCUGUUGAAACUCAGCACAGGGCCAACGAAUCCAAGUCAGAGGUGAAGGAGGUGCUCUGCCCCAUUCACCAAAAGCCUCACAGUUUGGCCAACUGCCGGGAAUUUGGCAAGAAGCCUUAUAAAGAAAGACAACAGAUUGUACAGAAGCUGGGCAUAUGUUUUAGGUGCUGUGGAGCAACUCUUCACUUUGCAUCCAACUGCAAAGAGGACGUCAAAUGCGCAAGGUGUAACAGCCUUAAGCAUUGCACCGCGAUGCACAACUCUGACGCUGUCUCCCGCGCCAAAGGGGACACGUCUUCCAAAGAAGGGUCAUCUACUGAUGCCACCAACAUGCAGGCCGCGUCACGGAUGCAGGAGGAUGCUCCAUCGGUCGCCUGUACUGAACUAUGCUCUGACGUGCACCAGUACAGAGUUUGUCAUCCUAUCUGCCUAGCGGAUGUAUAUCCAGCCAAGAGCCCUUGGCUUAGAAAGAGACUCUAUGUGGCCCUGGAUUCACAGAGCGACACCUCCCUAGCUACUCCAGAGUUCUUCCGCAUGUUUGACCUUAAAACCAAGAUGGUCGAUUACACCAUGACUACAUGUGCAGGAAAAAAGAAGUUGCAGGGUCGCAUAGCAUCUGGCUUUGUUGUCUCCUCUUGCGACCAGAAGAGACAGUUCAAGUUGCCAGACCUGAUUGAGUGUUCCUCCAUCCCUCGGAACAAAAAACAAAUUGUAACUAGAGAAGUUGUGGAGGCUCAUCCACAUUUGCGACGGUUAAAGAAUGCCAUACCAGCCUUUCAGCCAGAUGUGGACAUUGCCCUUCUGCUUGGUGCGGACUGUCCGAACUUGUUCUAUGUGAACGACCAAGUUAAGGGACCUCCAGGGGCGCCCAUUGCUCAGCUGCUACCACUAGGCUGGACAGUUACAGGCCCAGUGUGCAUAAACAAGAUGCACCCACCAUCGUCGUUGGACUCCAAUCAAGCACAGGUGCUUAAAGGUGGACGUCCUACACUUGUGCGCAGUUGCCUAAGUCACAUCUCAGUCUACUGCCAAGCAAUAACUCCAGAGUAUUCCUCCAUCUUCAAAGUCUCUGAGAGAGACGAAGCCACAGCGCUCUCGAAAGAUGAGCAAAGGUUUUCGGACAUUAUGAAUGCUCAAGUCUCACGAAGUGCAGAGGUGAAAGCCUGCAAAUCAACCACAGAAAUCAAGAUGGGCCAAAGAUCUUGCCUGGAACCACACCGUUUUGAACGUUUUUCGGAGUGGCACAGUCUUCUUAGAGCAGUUGCUAGGCUUAUACAUCGUUUAGCUUGCAAAGAUAGUGAGCCUUUACACGUCCAGGAUAUGAUAAAGGCUAAGAGCGUCAUAUUCAAGUCAGUACAGAGAUCUGCUUUCAAGCAGGAAAUAGCUAGGCUAGAGCAAGGGCUCAACAUCCCUAAUCAAAGUCUUCUAAAUGAGUUAAACCCAUUUCUAGACAAAGAGGGCAUUUUAAGAGUGGGAGGGAGGUUAGCUAAGGCUAAACUCAAAGUGUGUACAAAGAACCCCAUCAUUGUACCCCCCAAUAGCCAUAUUGCUUUGUUGUUGGUUCGUCACUACCAUGAGAAAAUCCAUCAUCAAGGUAGAACUCUGACUGAGGCGACCCCUAGAAAUGAAGGCCUGUGGGUGGUAAAUGCUAAAAGUUUGGUCAGCAGUGUUAUUUUUAAGUGUGUCAAAUGUCGGCGACUCAGAGUCAGCUGAUGGCUGAGUUACCUCAGGACAGGACUUUGACAGACCCCCCCUUUUCCCAUGUGGGAAUCGAUGUGUUUGGUCCUUGGGAGGUUGUCACUAGGAAAACCAGGGGUGGUGUUGUAAAUAACAAAAGAUGUGCGGUUUUGCUUACUUGUUUGUCAGUACGAGCUGUCCAUAUAGAGGUUGCAGAGGGAAUGGACACUUCAUCAUUCAUAAAUGCAUUGAAAAGGUUCAUAGCCCUCAGAGGGCCAAUUAAGUUAAUUUGGUCGGACUGUGGCACCAAUUUUGCAUGUGCAGACCUUAGCCAACCACUUCUGGAAGAGGUGGAAGGCCGAAUACUUAAGCCAGCUUCCAACCAGAAGACUCUGGCAAACCCAAAGGACAAUGCCAAGGUGGGAAACCUUGUGUUGCCAAAGGACAAAGACUUGCCCCGCUAUGCCUGGCCUAUGGGCAUUAUACUAAAGACCUUUCCUUGCCCUGACGGUAAGGUUAGAAAAGUUCAAGUAAAGACUCAUAGUAAGGACAAAAUGUCUGUCCUGGACAGACCAAUUAGUGACCUCGUGUUGCUUAUUGGAGAUGUUUAAAGUUCUAGUGUUUGUAUUGUUGUGUAUACAAAGGUGUUUGUAUGUUUUUGAUUGGUAAAUUCCCACAUCCUGGGAAUUUAGCGGGGAGUGUUCCGUCCCCCAGGACGAUGGUUUGCCUUACCUAUUGGUCGUUUGUUUGUUUUCCCUCCUUUGCAUUUUGUUUGAGCCUCUGGCUGCAAAAGCCUAGGAAAAGUGGCUUGGAAUCUGCAAUAGCUGGCUGCAGUUUUCUUUGCAGUGAUUGGUCAAAGAGUGCAACAUCUUAGGACCGCCCUUUUUACCAGGGUCUAGUCUCCAUUUUGGAGCUUCAUUCUGGCUAUUGUCUUCCAACGUGCUGGAGCUGUGCAAGGCUAACUGGGACAAAUCAUCCUCAAAACCAGGCCAAUCUAAGCCUAUCCAAAUUAGAUAAGUAUUGAAUUAUAUUGAUCUGGAAUAGGAAAUCUAGUUAGAGGAGCAAAGUUAUUCCAUCGCUUCUAGAACUAAUCUUUGCUGUAAAGAUAGGGAAGGAAAGAGUUUCUCCUUCUAAUAUAGGCAGCGUGAUUAGGGUAUAGUGGUUUUAUAAUCACCUUUGCCUUCUGGAACCCGGGAUAAUUCUGUGACUAAAACCUAUAGAAAUUUGUUUCAUUUUCUGCAACUUUAAGAUCUGUGCCAGGUUUACAACCUUGUAUGAAUAAACAUUCUUUUUUGAAGUUAUCCAGACUCAGUCGUUCAAUAUCUAUAGGACAGCUUAUAGGGAUUUGCAGUUCGCCCGGAUAAAGGACAGCACGUUUCAGUUUUAUAGUUUUUUAUUGUCCGGCGGACGGCACAAUCACCUUUUUGUAUUAUGUGUACUAAUACUGAUUUCAGAGUAUCCCACAAUAAAACUCUUUUAUGUUUUGGGUAUGUAUAUAUAUAAAGUAAAAACAUUCGUUCUUCUUUUUGUAAAGACAUCUAAACAAAUCACAGGAAAUGGAUUUGGGAGAGGAUGGUCUUACCACCAGAUCAUCAAGAGGAUUUAGUGUUCUGAGUACAUGAUUAGUUCCAUUUUGAUUUCCAGAAGAUUUUUAAGCGGGUGGGUGAAACAAAAAACUUGAUAUUUACAUGACGAAUUGAGAACUUUUAAGAAUUAUGUGUUAUUGUCUAUGAAAUUUGAUUCUGAAUUUGUUUGAAUCAUCUCCUAUAAUUAUUUGCCCAUCAGCAAAAUCUGCUAAUCUGUGUCAGAUAAUUUGUCUGGCUUAAGAAGGUUUAGUUAUGAAGUCUCUCUGUACUUUUCCUUUCUGACUUAUGAUUCUAAUAUUGUCUCCCUCCCCUGUCCCCCAUUACAAGUGGUUAAAUUUUUGGUAAAACUAUUAGGCACUGCCUUUGCUUUUUUUUUGGGGGGGGGGGGGGGGACUUGUGAACUGAAAACCAAAUCUGGAAGCCGUUUUGGGUAUUUGACAUGGGUUUCUUAUAAGCAUAAUAUUUUGGAAUAUACAGUAGAGUCUCACUUAUCCAACAUUUGCUUAUCUAACGUUCUGGAUUAUCCAACGCAUUUUUGUAGUCAAUGUUUUCAAUACAUUGUGAUAUUUUGGUGCUAAAUUCGUAAAUACAGUAAUUACAACAUAACAUUACUGCGUAUAGAACUACUUUUUCUGUCAAAUUUGUUGUAUAACAUGAUGUUUUGGUGCUUAAUUUGUAAAAUCAUAACCUAAUUUGAUGUUUAAUAGGCUUCUCCUUAAUCUCUCCUUAUUAUCCAACAUAUUUGCUUAUCCAACGUUCUGCCGGCCCGUUUAUGUUGGAUAAGUGAGACUCUACUGUAGUUUGCUAACAGCUUAUAAUGUUUUCUUCAUUUCUUAUUUGAACCUAAUUCGUUUAUAUCAUUCGAUCAGGGCAAUUUCACAUAAAACAAUUAUAGCAGCAUGAUUCCACUUUAACUGCCAUGGUUCCAGCCUAUGAAAUUUGGAGAUUUCCAAUUUAUGGAGGGGUAUUUAAAAUAAGAGCUGUUGUUAUUGUUGUUGCCACUAUUGCUGCUGUUGUGUGCCUUCAAGUUAUUUCCAGCUCAUGGUGACCCUAAGGCCUUUCCUGACAAGUCUUAUUCAGAGAAGAUUUGCCUUUGGCUUGCAGUAUAUAAAUAUAGAAUACUUUAUUUCUCUAUCAUGGCUAUCAACUAAGAUAGGACGAUCUUAAUCAACUUUUAUUAUGAAUAUUAUAACCAGCCUUUCCUCUAGUGUGGAGAAAAGCAAAGCAGAGUACAGCAUUCAAGUAUUGCUGGCAGCCCAGUUCUCUAAAUUUUGGGUGGAGGCUAAGAAGGCUUCUUGUAGUAAAAGCAAGCCAUCCUAUCCUCUAUCAUGCAGCAUUCCCAGUGGCCUUCACAACCAGUACAGCAUAUCCACAUAAGUACAGUUUUGGUAGGGAGGUUCAAGAAGGGCACAGAGAGAAGAGGGAGGGGGAAGAUAGCACAAGAGGCAGUAAAGAUAAGGAGGAAUUGAGAAAAUGGAAGAGUAGGAAUAAACACAAAUGCAUUCAAGUGGAUCAGCAUGAAACUAUGUUAUGAGAAGAUACCAAUUGUUGAUGAAAAACAAUAAGUGAAAAAAUAGAAAAAAUAAAAAUAGUGUUUGUGUCAUAUUGUCGCAAAUCUGUAAUUGUAGCAGUAUUGAAUGACUGAGGAUGGUGCAACAUCGCUGCCUUGCAGCGUUUUAAUUUUUGUAUACUUUUUAUCAUGUUUUAAUUGUCUUGUUUUAUAGUAUAUUUGUUGCUGGCCCUCGUGGCAGAAUGUAAGCCGCUCUGAGUCCCCUCGGGGAGAAGGGCGGGGUAUAAAUGCAUGUAAUAAAUAAAUAAAUAAAUAAGACCAGUGUUGGUUCUAUUUUGGGAUGGGUGGUAAUGGUUGAAGCAGUGCCCUUUUGAUACAGGAGAGCUUUCAAAAUGGCUAUGUUUGCUGUAGUAUCUGCAAAGGAAAGUUUGUGGUGUUGUAAGCCAAUACAGCAUUGUCCAGCUUUUGGUUGAUCUCAGCAGGAAUGGAAUAUCAAACCAGAUUUGCACACUUCUAUUUUUAAAAGUGCAUUUCCAGUUGUGUAUGAGAGAAUGAGGGUGCGUUUUAUUUUUCUGCAUUUGCUUCCUCUUGUGUUUCCUAUGGUAGAGUUUCACAUCUGGUGAACAUUUUGGGUUUUGUAAAGGCUACACAUGUUUUUCUAUGUGUCCUGGAAUUACAUUGAAAGGAGCUGAACUUGCAUUUAUGUCUGCCUGCUGCAGUGGUUCAGUUUAAAUUCACUCUGCCGUAUUAAAAUCUCAGAUGAAAGGUUUUGAUCAACCAUGACUGUAGCGUCUCACUUCUAGAUUUUGAAAAGUUAAUAACUUUUGAUAGACUUGAGCUUUUCUGUGGCACCUUGAGAAUCCUACAAUUAUAUGUCUUGUUUAUUUAUGUUUUCCAUUCCACCUAUUUCCAGAAGUGGGUCCUAAGACACCUCACAUCUCUCAGAAUAUUUUAAAAUCGUGUUCAAACAGUUAAACCUCUCUAUACUCAUUUAGUGUCAUCUUCCAUGUAGUUGAGGAUCUGAGCAGGUAAUUCAGUCAUCAUGUCUCUCUGUUCUUUUUUCUGGAAUUCUAUGGAGGAGCGGAUUUACAUUUCUUUAACAAAUUUCAAGGUCUUCCACUUUUGUUUGGCAUAUUUAGCUUCAGUUUCUACUUUUUAAGGUUCAUCUCAUGAUAAAUUUCAAUUUUUUGGUGUGUCAUUUAUUGUAUUGCCUCACCCCCACCCACCCCCACCUUUUUCUAAGGUCAUAGACCUAUGUUUUUGUAGAUCUUUAACUAUAUCUAUUUUAAACUUUUGUAAAAUAUCUCAAGUUGGUGUGUUUGCGGAAAGAAUACUGUAUGGUUUAGAUUCCGUAUAAGCUUUCAGGUUGUCCUUUGUCAUAGCUACUGAAUCAUCAUCAUCUCUUUCUCUGUCAUCUAUUGGCUCCUUUAAUAUAAAUGUUCACUGAAAUCUUCCUUUUCUGAAAUAUCUCUGGAGGGUUUGGUCCCUUGUACCAGAGCUCCCAAUGUUGUGUGUUUUGAUCAGGCAGAAAUUGCGUUUUUCACUAUUUCUUAAAGAGUCUGUUUAGACAGAUGGUAUGCUCUGCCUAAAGUUUGUUUUCGGCUGCCCUGGAGACUAGGAUGUGGAAUAAUGGUUUCAAACUUCAGGAAAAGAGAGCUAUUCAGCAGUGGAAAACUCUGUCGCAGAGUGUGGUGAAAGCUUCUUUGGAGGCUUUUAAGCAGAGGCGGGAUGGCCAUCUGUUGGGAGUGCUUUGAAUGCAAUCUUCCUGUUUCUUGGUAGAGAGUUGGGCAGGAUGGCCCACAAGGUCUCUUCCAACUCUAUGAUUUUAUGAUUCUUGCCAUGUUGAUGACUGGCCAUGUCCCAAAAUUUCUGGAAUGUGGACAGUCAGGUGGUAUUCCCAUUCUGCACUCUAUACACUCUGGAAUUCUCCACUUGCUUCCUUCUGAAGCUUCCUUUUCCUUAAAACUAGAGCCAUCUGAAUACUUAUUUUUUCUGCAGUAUACUUCAUGGGUUGAUUAAUUUAUUAUAUUUACAUUCUGCUUUUCUUCCAAAACUGAGGCAAAUAAUGGCUCACAACACAACUAAAAAGAGAUCAAAAUAAAAUACAGUGAUUUAUAUAAUAAUAGGAUAUAAUUAUAUUAAAACGGCAAUCAGCAAAUUAUAAGCUGUUUGAAAGGAAUAAUAAAAAUGGUUGGAUAGCAACAUAAAUGAAAGCUAUCCAGUUGCCAAAAGUCAGUCUGAAUAAAUAUAUGCUUACUGAUGAAAGGACACAGGGAGGGACAUAUCCAGUAUGAAAGGGAGUUCAACCUGCAAGUAAUUAUAUUUGAGCAGAGAAGUAGUCUGCUGUUGAAUAAUAAGCCUGUAGGUGACUCUUCACAAAAUCUAUACUAUUUACCAUUUCUUUCUAUCUAUCUGGAGGAGUUAGUAAGAGUGAUCUGCUUGAUGAUUUCAGAUGACUUCCUUCUGGGAGGCAUGAUGAAUAUACUUAGGAAAUGAUCCAUAAUUAAUUGACCUGAAUUCCAUGAAGUGAAGAAAGUAAUAAAGUACAUCGAUACACUGUGCUUGUUCUCGCCCAGAGAAUCACAAACCACUCUUGGAUCCUAUUUACAAUUCUGGUUAGGAGAGCAAGUGCAAAUGAGAAGUUCCUGGUCUGCAUUUAGUGCCAAUUGUUUCUACUAAACAGGAAAGUAACCUAUUGAAUCUUCAAUGUGGAAGGGAAAGAGGAUACAUUCUCGUUUUAAUUCAUGUCAUCAUUGGAUAAGUGACUCAUGGUCAUGGCACAAAGCAAGUGUUCCUAUGUAAUCAUGCCUCUGUUUGGAAUGGGUGACAGGAGUGUGAAACAUGCCAAUGGCAUGCCAGUUUAACCUUGUUAAAUGUUUGCCAGCUGGGUGGUAAUUAUUUACAGUACUGUAAUGUUGAACAAUUGGCACCAUAACAGGAUAAUUACUUAGUUAACCAUGUGAUCCCACAGCUGAAUAAUUCCUCUGUAAGCUAGGAGACACUUUUAGUGAGACAGAAAGUGGUGGCCAACAGUCUUGUUUCUAUUACUUCCUUACUGAAAGGAAAUAAAGGAGAGAAUGAAUGCCAGUUGUCAAAUAAAAAGGCUGUAAAUGUAGCUUUGCAUAGGGAAGGCUAACUAGAUAGUCACUCAAAUGAAUAGGCUCCUUUAUAGCCCUACAUAUAUGAGUAGGACAUUUGCAUAUUUUAUAUGCAAACUGUGAAAUAAUAUGCAUCUUAAGAAUGACUAUCAUGCAUCUGGAAAAUAGCAGAUGUGGAUUUUGAGAAAUAAUUACUUGUUUACCUAUUUUCUCUUGUUCAUAUAAUAGCUGUAUUCUGGUUGUCAUUUGUUUUGAAAUAGAUGAGUGUUAAUAUCCACUAUCCUUUGUUAAAAUUGAACCCAAACAUCAGUACACAAAAUAAAUAUAGCACCAGUAUUAUAUGCAUGUUGUGAUCUAUUGUGAAUGUUAUUUUUCUUUGUUGUGGUUUCGGUGCGUAGAUGUUUUGCAUUUUUAAAAAUAAAAUCUUGUACUAUUCCUUUCCACCAUAAUGCACUCUGUGGCAUGAGCCGUGUAUCUGUUGGAAAUCCAGUGCUUAAGUCCUCUCUGUGGAUAUCUGUAACCUUAUAUACAGUAUGUUGACUAUACUUGGGCUGGAAGAAUAUGAAAUAAUAUCAUUGGAGAACUUAGAGAUGCCCACACACACUUUUUGGGGGGUACAUCUUUGGAACGGGGGUAAAUGAUACUGUGGAUAUUAAAUUUGUGGAUAAAGGAGACAUAAGAAAGAUUGGAAGCUUCUGUGGAUUCCAUAUUCAGUGGUCAUUUUUAGAACAUGUCAAAUAAGUUCUAAAAGAACUUAGCUACUUACCAGUCCAUGUUUCUGCUGAAAUGUUGAUACUGAUAAUUCUGGGACAUCUUUUUCAUCCCAAUCCCUCCAUGGAAGCCCUUUUAAGUUGUUUGUGCAAUUUCUGGCCAGAGUACCAUUCAGCUAUUCUGCAAUUAAAGAGAGAGCAUAAAUAUGAAGUUGAAAAAUUAAAGUCUGAAUUUGAGCUCAAAGUCUUUCAUGUUCGAGGAGAGUAUGCAUCAUCAGUAGCAAAACUUGAAGAUGAUAUUGCAAAUUUGAAAAAUGAACUGGACAAUAAA